UGCUGUCAGUCAGUGUGACUGGCAGCUCUCCCCUGCCCCCUCGCCCGGCUAAACUGGGGCAGCAGAUCCCUGUUUUUAGUCAUGAUCUGUGCACUUAUAUGCUAGAUCUUACUUAUUAGGCUGUCCAACCCCUGCCUUUUAUAGAGGCUAUGAAUAGCCAGAGAGUUAGGAAAGUGCUUAGAAUUGCUUCCUUAGAUUAACUGUGGCGCCCUGGGCUGUGUCUAUAACAUCUGAAUGGUCAGGGACAUCUGAGAGCCCACGUGCCUGUAAACAAGUCUGACUAUUAGGUGAUAAAGGCAACGCACAGUCCAAAGGAAGGAACCAGACCGCGUUCUGCCUUUCCUUUAGCUUCCAGCAAGCAGCUGUUCUCCGGGCCUCUUCUUCCCAUACGCCAGCUGAGUGGGAAGAAGUAUUUUUACCCCUCUCUCUCCUUCCCACUUCGCCAUGCCAGGGAUGCGUCAUUUCUUUCUUUACCCCUCUGGUGAAGCUGUUGGUUAAUAAGAGCUGGGGGAGGGGUGGGAGUUCUGACCUUCAGGGCCCUCGGGUCUUGUGUGGAAAGUGAGGGGUCCUUUCUGGUCCAGCUCAAACGUACCGACAGCCUCUGAGCACCCAAGUUCUGCGUUUAGUUCUGCUGAGUCUUUUUUCUUUCUUCUGUCUUCUACUAUCUUAAUGUGGAAGUGCUAGCUCCCCAGAGGAAACACCCCAGCCAGGAAGUGGAUACGAGAGAGAAGUAAGGGAUGCUGGGGAGGAAGUAAGGGUGAUGAGAAUGGAGACACCAAACACAGAGGUUUGCAGCCUUAACCCGCAUGAAGACGACACGAGGAGCUUGCAUAAAUUCAGAUCCCCAGAUCUCCCCGCCUACUUGAAUUUGGAUUCAGUAGCUCUAGGAUGGAAGUACUGGACCCCAGAAUCUACAUGCUGGCGCCCUGAUAAUAUCAUAAAACGGUUCUCACUGCCUUGCGUUUUUAAAGCAUGUCGUAGGAUGCUGCUUGACUGUCCAGGAAGAUAGUACUCACCCAUCAGCUGUACGGGUUCACAGGCACGUCUGGAGGUCCCGAUAAGGAACACGGUGCUUGCACGGUGCUACCACCGAAAACUAACCGGGAGAAUUCGAGAGGGGCGGAAAGGAGGGAGGAGAUGCCAGCCCAUAACAUAUCCUGCCAACCUCCCAGAAUCCUUCUUGCUGGAAUCCAUCUUGGCUGAGAGAGGCACAUGCCACCCGGAAGGAUGCUGAGUCAGACCAGAUAUGGGCAACAAGCAAGAUGACUGGCCAGAGACAACCCGGAAACUAACCCCAUGACCAUAAAACCUGAGACUGUGAGCCAUGUGCCAGAGCAGUUCUCCUGGGUUCCCUUACCCCACGAUCUCCGCCCAGGCGCCCCUUCCUAGUAAAGUCUUCUGCUUUGUCAGUACGUGUGUCUCCUCAGAUAAUUCAUUUUUGAGUGUUAAGA